UUAGAGGCUCAGUUGGUAGAGGGCUUGCCUCACAUGCACGUGCCCUGGGUUCAAUCCCCAGCAUCGAAA
rnacentral:tRNA from 1 species